rnacentral:ncRNA from 2 species
GUCAUCCGCUGGGGGUGUUGGCGCGGCCGCAGGGCCGGUGCCGACUGAGAGAGUCCCUUCGAACCUGAUUGAGGUAAUCCUCGCGCAGGGAAGCACGUUCGGUGGCUC